GCCUUAUUCUUUUAUCCUUUUUUUGCCCGGCUUUUUAAAAAUGAAAAAAAAAGCUAAAAAUGGACGAAAAGUUAAGGCUAUAGCCUUAUUUUCUGCCAUUUGUACCCACUUUUUUCAUUUUUGAAAGAACUAUAUAGCCUUACUUUUUGCUCUUUUUUGCCCCUUUUUUAAAAAUGAAAAAAGUGGCUAAAAAUGGACGAAAAGUUAAGCCUACACGUAUAGCCUUACUUUUUUG